rnacentral:rRNA from 1 species
UUGGAGGGCAAGUCUGGUGCCAGCAGCCGCGGUAAUUCCAGCUCCAAUAGCGUAUAUUAAAGUUGUUGCAGUUAAAAAGCUCGUAGUUGAACCUCGGGGUCUACCCAUUGGUCAGGCUUAAUUGUCUGCACUGGUGAGAUGGAUCUCUACCUUCUGAGGAACUUUCAUGCCAUUUAUUUGGUGUGAUGGGAAAUCAGGACUGUUACUUUGAAAAAAUUAGAGUGUUUAAAGCAGACUAUCGUCUGAAUACAUUAGCAUGGAAUAAUGAAAUAGGACGGACUGAUUCUAUUUCGUUGGUUUCUAGGAUCACCGUAAUGAUUAAUAGGGAUAGUUGGGGGCAUUAGUAUUCGAUUGUCAGAGGUGAAAUUCUUGGAUUUAUUGAAGACUAACUACUGCGAAAGCAUUUGCCAAGGAUGUUUUCAUUAAUCAAGAACGAAAGUUAGGGGAUCGAAGACGAUCAGAUACCGUCGUAGUCUUAACCAUAAACUAUGCCGACUAGGGAUCGGAUGAUGUUAAUUUUUUAAUGACUCAUUCGGCGCCUUACGGGAAACCAAAGUGUUUGGGUUC